GUGCCAGCAGCCGCGGUAAUACGAAGGGGGCUAGCGUUGUUCGGAAUUACUGGGCGUAAAGCGCACGUAGGCUGAUAGUUAAGUGAGGGGUGAAAUCCCGAGGCUCAACCUCGGAACUGCCUUUCAUACUGGCUGUCUCGAGUCCGGAAGAGGUUAGUGGAAUUCCUAGUGUAGAGGUGAAAUUCGUAGAUAUUAGGAAGAACACCAGUGGCGAAGGCGGCUAACUGGUCCGGUACUGACGCUGAGGUGCGAAAGCGUGGGGAGCAAACAGGAUUAGAUACCCCUGUAGUCC
rnacentral:rRNA from 1 species